AUGAGGAAGAUGCGUCGCCUAUUAAAAUGUCUGGCGGCUGUUACAUUUGCUUUCUAGCACUUUUCUAUUCUCGUUUCCUUUUUUUGUACCUUCCCCUUUUGAAUUUUCCAUCGUAUAAGCCUCAGAAAUUUGGUAGACACUUAAUGAUGAAUAGGUUGGGUUAGAUUUGAUUUGAGAUCUUGAGUCACCAGGCAGUCCCAAUUUUUUUUACGAAAUAUUAGGAGUGUGCUGAUGUCAGCAUAGAUGAUGUAUUAUACAUGUUUUGUGUGGUUUGCUAUAUUUCUACUUAUAGAUGGCUAAAAUCUGAGUUUGAGAGCAGCAUGCCACAGAUGCUUGGAUUUUACUAUUGGAUUUUGCUGCCGGAAUAGGGCUUUCGGGACACUUAUUCCUUUGCUUAAGACCAACUCUGUUUUCGCCUUUGCCCCUUCAUCAUUAUACAAAAUGUCUACCAUUACCACACCCACACAUUGAUAUUAUGACUAAUUGUUUAUUAGCUAAGUUCCCAUGGCCACUUUUUACUUUUUUCUCAUUUUCUUAUUUUUAUUAUAUUUUCUGUCACUUCUGAAGUGACGGAAAAGAGGAGUUUGAAUUAGAUUUGCAAAACGGGCGGUAUCAAGAAUACUGUCACUCUAUAUGUCUAAUUUAUCGUCAACUCUGCAAAAAGAAAAUAGGAAGAAGAAAAUAGGCGGAUAAGAGUAUAUAGAGAAAUGAUUUAUUCUAUUUUUUUUUUUCUUUUUCGUUUUUCAGUAGAUUUUUGCCUUUCGAGAGAAUAAAUUCCACUAAAAAGGGUUAAAGAAAAAUCUAUUCACUGAACUUAUUGAUGAAAACUUUAAAUGCGUCAAGUACAUCAAAAGAGGAAACAGAGGGAAAGAACCAGGUUGGCAAACAAGCAAAAAGGCAAGGACGAACCUUCCUCAAGCACUGAAUGUUUUGCGAGUGAAUGGUAAGCGCGAGAAAUGAUGAUACAAGUUGAAAAGACAUAAUUUGAGAUUUUUCAAAAUAGAUUAUUUUAGACAUCCUACUUUAAUCAUUUUUGAUGAAUCAAUACGGUAUUUUUGUCGCUUCCUUAUUACAGUAAUGCAGACAUUAACUUCUGAGCGGAAGGAACCGUGUGUUCAGUUUAUGGAUUUUCGUGUAAAGCGUUUUUUCGGUUGCGAUAGCAGUUACUUACUUUCCUCGAUGCCUUUGAUGCAUUCAGAUAAUUUUUGGAACAUUU
rnacentral:telomerase_RNA from 20 species